rnacentral:tRNA from 1 species
GCCGGGAUAGCCUAGCGGACAAGGCGCAGGCCUUGAGAGCCUGUGGGCGUAAGCCCGCGUGGGUUCGAAUCCCACUCCCGGCG